GACGAACGCUGGCGGCGCGCUUAACACAUGCAAGUCGAACGGAAAGGCCUGCUUUCCCUUGUGGAUUGCGGGUACUCGAGUGGCGAACGGGUGAGUAACACGUGAGUGAUCUGCCCCCAACUUGGGUAUAAGCCUGGGAAACUGGGUCUAAUUCCCGAUAGGACUGCAGGGUGGUGCCUGUGGUGGAAAACGAUUUUCUAGUGGUUGGGGAUGAGCUCGCGGCCUAUCAGCUUGUUGGUGGGGUAAUGGCCUACCAAGGCGGCGACGGGUAGCCGGCCUGGGAGGGUGGACGGCCACGUUGGGACUGAGAUACGGCCCAGACUCCUACGGGAGGCAGCAGUGGGGAAUAUUGCACAAGGGGCGGAAGCCUGAUGCAGCGACGCCGCGUGGGGGAUGACGGCCUUCGGGUUGUAAACUCCUUUCGACCGCGAGGAAGCCACCUGGUUGGAAGGGUGGUGACGGUAGUGGUAGAAGAAGCACCGGCUAACUACGUG
rnacentral:rRNA from 1 species